AAAAAUAUUACAUUUUUCGAUGAGAAUGACUUUGUGUAUAAGAUAUUGCAAGAGUUUGCCUGUUGUUUUAUAUUGUAUGGUGAUAACGGUAGAUGUGGCAAAUGUGUCUCCAAGAAGUGACAACAGACGACAAUUCGCACCAAAUAAUGAAGCAGGAGGGCCUGAUGAACUUCCAAUUGUGACCACGCCUGCUAAGGGCGGGGGAGCGCAUGCGGAAAAGGAUAGGUAUUCUUUAUAAUUUAAAUUUAAAUAAUUGUGUUUGCUCGCAAACGAAAAAAAAACCGACUUCAAUUACAUCGACGACUAAUACAACGUAGAUCGACGAAAAAAUAGUCAAGUAACUACGCGUUAUCAAAGAGUAAUCAAAAAGUAGUUAUCAGAUCUCGAUAAAAUUUAUAUGUGACCAUAUGAUAAACAUCAGCUUUCGAUUAAAUCAAAAAUUAUCAAAAUCGGUAUACCCAGUAAAAAGUUAUUGCGGAUUUUCGAGAGUUUCCCUCGAUUUCUCUGGGAUCCCAUCAUCAGAUCCUGAUUUCCUUAUUAUGGUACCAAACUAGGGAUAUCCUCUUUCCAACAAAAAAAGAAUUAUCAAAAUCGGUACAUCUAGUAGAAAGUUAUGCGGUAUAAUACAACGUAGGUCGACGAAAAAAGCGUCAAGUAAAAACGCAUUAUUAGAUAUAACUCGAAAAGUAGUUGUUAGAUCUCAAAUAAAUUAAAAUGGGACCAAUUGGCACACACCACCUUUCGAUUAAAACAAAAUUUGUCGAAAUCGGUCCACCCGGUCAAAAGUUCUGAUGUAACAUACAUAAAAAAA
rnacentral:misc_RNA from 1 species